CAGUAGCCGCGGUAAUACGAAGGGUGCAAGCGUUAAUCGGAAUUACUGGGCGUAAAGCGUGCGCAGGCGGUUAUAUAAGACAGAUGUGAAAUCCCCGGGCUCAACCUGGGAACUGCAUUUGUGACUGUAUAGCUAGAGUACGGCAGAGGGGGAUGGAAUUCCGCGUGUAGCAGUGAAAUGCGUAGAUAUGCGGAGGAACACCGAUGGCGAAGGCAAUCCCCUGGGCCUGUACUGACGCUCAUGCACGAAAGCGUGGGGAGCAAACAGGAUUAGAUACCCCAGUAGUCCCUGUCUCUUAUAU
rnacentral:rRNA from 1 species